rnacentral:misc_RNA from 1 species
UUUCCGUAGGUGAACCUGCGGAAGGAUCAUUCAUAAUAAAGUGUUUUAUGGCACUUUUUAAAAAUCCAUAUCCACCUUGUGUGCAAUGUUAGAUCUCGUCAAUCUUGGCGAGAUUUUUAUACAUCAACUCAUUCUUUAACUAAUUUGUCUGAAAAAUAUUAUGAAUACUUAAUUCAAAAUACGACUUUCAACAACGGAUCUCUUGGCUCUC